rnacentral:misc_RNA from 1 species
AAUGAAGAAAAUUUUGUAGUGAAUGCAAAGAACUGACUACAACUAGUUCUUACUUCCAUCGCAGGGAUUGUCUUAUCCCAGUAUAGAUAAGUCCCAAGGACCGCCCUAUCAAGCUAACCAGAAAAAAUGAGAUAGCAUCGCUCAACCUAGAAAUGACCGUUCUUAUCAUCGGCAUGGCAAUAUCAGCCAAUUCAAGGAGGAGGCUGUAGUAAUAUCUCCAUCCAGUCAAGGCCCUCAGUUCCUUGGUGCGUUUAACAGGUAUAGAGAUUUGGUUGAUCAAAAUAGUACUUAAUUGAGAUAAAACAGGCUGAGAACUCAUCACCCUAAGCUUCUUCCACCAAUUAUCAUUUUGAACUUUG